rnacentral:ncRNA from 2 species
CCCUGUUGAGCUUGACUCUAGUCC